rnacentral:rRNA from 1 species
GACGAACGCUGGCGGCGUGCUUAACACAUGCAAGUCGAACGGAAAGGCCCUGCUUUUGCGGCGUGCUCGAGUGGCGAACGGGUGUGUAACACGUGAGUAACCUGCCCUUGACUUUGUGAUAACUUCAGGAAACUGGGGCUAAUACAGGAUAGGAGCUCCUGCUGCAUGGUGGGGGUUGGAAAGUUUCGGCGGUGGGGGAUGGACUCGCGGCUUAUGAGCUUGUUGGUGGGGUAGUGGCUUACCAAGGGUUAGACGGAUAGCCGGCCUGAGAGGGUGGCCGGGCACAUGAGGCCUGAGGGACGCAGCAGUCGCGAACGGGAGGCAGCGGGCGGGAGUCUGACACAGUAAGCGGAAGCGUGUGACGAAGGCGCCGGGUUCGUAAAGACGUCCUUCGAGUUGAGAACCGCUUUCGCCUGUGACGAAGCGUUAGUGACGGUAAUGGGUAAAGAAGCACCGGCUAACUACGUG